rnacentral:rRNA from 1 species
UUUUUAAAGACUUUUCUUUUUUGGUCCUUUAAAAAAAUUCAAGGAAAGUUUUUAAUUAAUUGGGGCGAUUUUUAAAUUUUUAAAAACUUUAAAAAUGUAUUAUUGGAUCCAAUAUUAUUGAUAUUUUAAAAAAAAUACUCUAGGGAUAACAGCGUUAUUACUUUGGAUAGUUCAUAUAGAUAAAGUAGAUUGCGACCUCGAUGUUGGAUUAGGAUACCUUUAUUGAUGAAGAAGUUAUAAGAGGAGGUUUGCUCAACCUUUUAAUUCCUACA